rnacentral:rRNA from 1 species
AAAUUGAAGAGUUUGAUCAUGGCUCAGAUUGAACGCUGGCGGCAGGCCUAACACAUGCAAGUCGAACGGUAACAGGAAGCAGCUUGCUGCUUCGCUGACGAGUGGCGGACGGGUGAGUAAUGUCUGGGAAAUUGCCUGAUGGAGGGGGAUAACUACUGGAAACGGUAGCUAAUACCGCAUAAUGUCGCAAGACCAAAGAGGGGGACCUUCGGGCCUCUUGCCAUCGGAUGUGCCCAGAUGGGAUUAGCUUGUUGGUGGGGUAACGGCUCACCAAGGCGACGAUCCCUAGCUGGUCUGAGAGGAUGACCAGCCACACUGGAACUGAGACACGGUCCAGACUCCUACGGGAGGCAGCAGUGGGGAAUAUUGCACAAUGGGCGCAAGCCUGAUGCAGCCAUGCCGCGUGUAUGAAGAAGGCCUUCGGGUUGUAAAGUACUUUCAGCGGGGAGGAAGGGAGUAAAGUUAAUACCUUU